rnacentral:rRNA from 3 species
ACUUAAAUUGAAGAGUUUGAUCAUGGCUCAGAUUGAACGCUGGCGGCAGGCCUAACACAUGCAAGUCGAGCGGUAGCACAGAGAGCUUGCUCUCGGGUGACGAGCGGCGGACGGGUGAGUAAUGUCUGGGAAACUGCCUGAUGGAGGGGGAUAACUACUGGAAACGGUAGCUAAUACCGCAUAAUGUCGCAAGACCAAAGUGGGGGACCUUCGGGCCUCAUGCCAUCAGAUGUGCCCAGAUGGGAUUAGCUAGUAGGUGGGGUAACGGCUCACCUAGGCGACGAUCCCUAGCUGGUCUGAGAGGAUGACCAGCCACACUGGAACUGAGACACGGUCCAGACUCCUACGGGAGGCAGCAGUGGGGAAUAUUGCACAAUGGGCGCAAGCCUGAUGCAGCCAUGCCGCGUGUGUGAAGAAGGCCUUCGGGUUGUAAAGCACUUUCAGCGGGGAGGAAGGCGGUGAGGUUAAUAACCUCAUCGAUUGACGUUACCCGCAGAAGAAGCACCGGCUAACUCCGUGCCAGCAGCCGCGGUAAUACGGAGGGUGCAAGCGUUAAUCGGAAUUACUGGGCGUAAAGCGCACGCAGGCGGUCUGUCAAGUCGGAUGUGAAAUCCCCGGGCUCAACCUGGGAACUGCAUUCGAAACUGGCAGGCUAGAGUCUUGUAGAGGGGGGUAGAAUUCCAGGUGUAGCGGUGAAAUGCGUAGAGAUCUGGAGGAAUACCGGUGGCGAAGGCGGCCCCCUGGACAAAGACUGACGCUCAGGUGCGAAAGCGUGGGGAGCAAACAGGAUUAGAUACCCUGGUAGUCCACGCCGUAAACGAUGUCGAUUUGGAGGUUGUGCCCUUGAGGCGUGGCUUCCGGAGCUAACGCGUUAAAUCGACCGCCUGGGGAGUACGGCCGCAAGGUUAAAACUCAAAUGAAUUGACGGGGGCCCGCACAAGCGGUGGAGCAUGUGGUUUAAUUCGAUGCAACGCGAAGAACCUUACCUGGUCUUGACAUCCACAGAACUUUCCAGAGAUGGAUUGGUGCCUUCGGGAACUGUGAGACAGGUGCUGCAUGGCUGUCGUCAGCUCGUGUUGUGAAAUGUUGGGUUAAGUCCCGCAACGAGCGCAACCCUUAUCCUUUGUUGCCAGCGGUUAGGCCGGGAACUCAAAGGAGACUGCCAGUGAUAAACUGGAGGAAGGUGGGGAUGACGUCAAGUCAUCAUGGCCCUUACGACCAGGGCUACACACGUGCUACAAUGGCAUAUACAAAGAGAAGCGACCUCGCGAGAGCAAGCGGACCUCAUAAAGUAUGUCGUAGUCCGGAUUGGAGUCUGCAACUCGACUCCAUGAAGUCGGAAUCGCUAGUAAUCGUAGAUCAGAAUGCUACGGUGAAUACGUUCCCGGGCCUUGUACACACCGCCCGUCACACCAUGGGAGUGGGUUGCAAAAGAAGUAGGUAGCUUAACCUUCGGGAGGGCGCUUACCACUUUGUGAUUCAUGACUGGGGUGAAGUCGUAACAAGGUAACCGUAGGGGAACCUGCGGUUGGAUCACCUCCUUACCUUAAAGAA